GUAAUACUGUAUAAUCCCUGCGGGGGAAAGAUUUAUCGCUAUUAGAUGAGCCUACGUUAGAUUAGCUAGUUGGUAAGGUAAUGGCUUACCAAGGCUAUGAUCUAUAGCUGGUCUGAGAGGACGAUCAGCCACACUGGAACUGAGAUACGGUCCAGACUCCUACGGGAGGCAGCAGUGGGGAAUAUUGGACAAUGGGCGAAAGCCUGAUCCAGCUAYGCCGCGUGAGUGAAGAAGGCCUUCGGGUUGUAAAACUCUUUCAAUAGGGAAGAUAAUGACGGUAC
rnacentral:rRNA from 1 species